CCCCUGCCUUACCGCUUGGCCAAGCCGCC
rnacentral:tRNA from 1 species